rnacentral:lncRNA from 10 species
AAACUUCCUCAUGAGACAAAAUUUGACCAGUGGAAGAAAGAAGUCAAAAGGAGGCAGCAGAUAAAUACCUUCCCCUUCUUUCCUUUAAAAGACUGUUCCAAGAUAGGAUUUCUCCAUACGGCCUUUCUGAGCACAUAGUGCCUGAUCCAGGAAGUGCCCCCGCUAACAGACUUUGCCUCUGAGAGUGUCAUCAGGAAGCAAAACACAUUGCAUGGUGUUGCUCCUUCUCUGCCACUAUUCCCUGUAUCUUUUCCUCCACUCUUGCUGCCCUAGAAUUGCAUGUCCCAGUUAAAAUCUGGGCUUAUACAAGUUGGUUUUGAAAGUUGGUUUUAAAAAUCAAUUAUGCCAACAGCAGCAAUUUAAAAUGGUGAUGUACACCUAUAUUCACUAACUAGGAAAGAGCUGCGAGUCAUAACUUUGGAGAAUCCUGAAUUGAAAAGAAAACAAGAAUAAUAGCAGGAGAAGGCUCACACCCUCUACUUUAAAUUUUGACUUCUGUUGCUUUAUGAGAACGUCAAUGAAUCUGAGCAUGGUAAAAUGGCCUUGCCUUUGAUUUGCCAAGAUGUAAGGGCUAAUCACCAACAAGAAAUGCACAAAGCUUACAGUUUAAGAGCAUGUGUUUGAAGAGCAUGCGUUUGUAUUUGAGCGGACCUGAGUUCAAGUUUUGGCUCUGGCAUUAGUAGCUCCAUAACCUCGGAAAAGCCUCUAACCUCUCUGUGUUCUACAAAAUGAGAAUUAUCACUCUAACUACCUUGUAAGGUUGUGAUGAAGAUGAAAGACGACAACACGUUAAAGUGGUCAACACGGUACCCAGUAUGUUGACCAUGUUUAAUCAAUUUAGCUAUGAUUACUGUUUAUUAUUGCCAUUCUUCUCUUAGACCUUCUAAAGUUAAGGUAAAGGGCUCUGAAGUCCCUAUGCUGUAGCUGCUCCUAAACUGAAAAUGCCCUCAUCCUCUGACCCUCCUUGGUUAACAAUAUCUUGAGCAGUGCAUCACAACUUCGGUAAAAGGUUCUGAUUUUAAAGUUUAUAAAUUUAGAGAAUGUUGAUAUUUACUAUGCUGUAUUUUUUACUGUGUACUAUUUUAGUUUUUACUAAUAAAAUAGAAACCUAAACUCAGACAACUGCUUUAUUCUUGCAUCUAAUCUGACCAUAUAUUGUAGAAGCAAUUCUUUAUAAUGGGACUUAGGUGAGAGCUGUCAAUACAUCAGUUUGGCC